CAUUUUAGGCAAACGCUGUAAUAGUUUUAUUAUAGAGGAAAGUCCAUGCUCACAAAAACUGAGAUGUUUUUAGUGUUUGUGCUAAGGGAAAAAAUAACCUUAGGUAAGAGAAAUCCUAACGGCUCCUUAAUAAUCUAAGUUUUUUUAAAUAUGAUUAUAGUAGGUAUAAAAGUGCCAUAGUGACGAUGCAUACUAGAAAUGGUAUGAGUGGAACGCGGUAAACCCCACAAGUGAGAAACCCAAAUUAUGGUAGGGGAAUCCAAAUAGGGAAAUGAACUGAUUUUGGAAUCGAAAGAUAGAUAAAUGUUUGCCACCUUUUAGGUACAGAACAUGGCUUAUUAAA
rnacentral:RNase_P_RNA from 1 species